rnacentral:rRNA from 1 species
CCUACGGGAGACAGCAGUGAGGAAUAUUGGUCAAUGGACGAGAGUCUGAACCAGCCAAGUAGCGUGAAGGAUGACUGCCCUAUGGGUUGUAAACUUCUUUUAUAUGGGAAUAAAAUGUUCCACGUGUGGGAUUUUGUAUGUACCAUAUGAAUAAGGAUCGGCUAACUCAGUGCCAGCAGCCGCGGUAAUACGGAGGAUCCGAGCGUUAUCCGGAUUUAUUGGGUUUAAAGGGAGCGUAGGUGGAUUGUUAAGUCAGUUGUGAAAGUUUGCGGCUCAACCGUAAAAUUGCAGUUGAAACUGGCAGUCUUGAGUACAGUAGAGGUGGGCGGAAUUCGUGGUGUAGCGGUGAAAUGCUUAGAUAUCACGAAGAACUCCGAUUGCGAAGGCAGUUCACUGGACUGCAACUGACACUGAGGCUCGAAAGUGUGGGUAUCAAACAGGAUUAGAUACCCUUGUAGUC